rnacentral:rRNA from 1 species
GAUGAACGCUGGCGGCGUGCCUAAUACAUGCAAGUCGAGCGAACAGACGAGGAGCUUGCUCCUCUGACGUUAGCGGCGGACGGGUGAGUAACACGUGUAUAACCUACCUAUAAGACUGGGAUAACUUCGGGAAACCGGCGCUAAUCCCGGAUAAUAUAUUGCACCGCAUUGUUCAAUAGUGAAAGACGGUUUUGCUGUCACUUCUCGAUGGAUCCGCGCCGCAUUAGCUGGUUGGUAAGGUAACAGCUUACCAAGGCAACGAUGCGUAGCCGACCUGACAGGGUGAUCGGCCACACUGGAACUGGGACACGGUCCAUGCUCCUACGGGAGGCAGCAGUAGGGAAUCUUCCGCAAUGGGCGGAAGCUUGACGGAGCAACGCCGCGUGAGAUAUGAAGGUGUUCGGAUCGUAAAACUCUGUUAUUAGGGAAGAACAAAUGUGUAAGUAACUAUGCACGUCUUGACGGUACCUAAUCAGAAAGCCACGGCUAACUACGUG